rnacentral:rRNA from 1 species
UAUUAUUUUGUAUGUAAAAUUUGAAAUUUAAAUAUUAGAAGUUAUGUUCUUGAAACUUAAAGAAUUUGACGGUAUUUUAGUCUUUUCAGAGGAAUCUGUUCUAUAAUUGAUAAUACACGAAUAGAUACACUUAGUUUUGUUUAGCUUGUAUAUCGUUGUCGAAAAUUUAUUUUAUGAAAAUUAUAUUUUUUUAAAAAUUGAUUAAUUUGGAUGUCAAAUCAAGGUGCAGUUUAUGAUUAAGAAGAAAUGGAUUACAAUUUUAUGGUAAACGGAUAAAAUAUAUUUAAAAAAUUAUUGAAGUUGGAUUUGAAUGUAAAUUUAUUUAUAAUUAGGUUGAUUUUAGCUCUGAAAUAUGUACAUAUCGCCCGUCAUUCUCAUUUUAAAAUGAG